GAUGAACGCUGACAGAAUGCUUAACACAUGCAAGUCAACCUGAAUUUGGGUUUUUAACUUAGGUUUGGGUGGCGGACGGGUGAGUAACGCGUAAAGAACUUGCCUCACAGCUAGGGACAACAUUUGGAAACGAAUGCUAAUACCUAAUAUUAUGAUAAUAGGGCAUCCUAUAAUUAUGAAAGCUGUAAGUGCUGUGAGAGAGCUUUGCGUCCCAUUAGCUAGUUGGAGAGGUAACGGCUCACCAAGGCGAUGAUGGGUAGCCGGCCUGUGAGGGUGAUCGGCCACAAGGGGACUGAGACACGGCCCUUACUCCUUCGGGAGGCAACAGUGGGGAAUGUUGGACAAUGGACCAAGAGUCUGAUCCAGCAAUUCUGUGUGCACGAUGAAGUUUUUCGGAAUGUAAAGUGCUUUCAGUUGGGAAGAAAGAAAUGACGGUACCAACAGAAGAAGUGACGGCUAAAUACGUG
rnacentral:rRNA from 1 species